ACAAGGAUUCCCCUAGUAACUGCGAGUGAAGCGGGAAAAGCUCAAAUUUAAAAUCCUUCGGGAAUUGUAAUCUAGAGAAGUGUUUUCGGCCGUUGACCUGGACAAGUCCCUUGGAACAGGGCGUCAUAGAGGGUGAGAAUCCCGUACUUGCCAGUCUCCCAACGUCUAUGUGAUGCACUCUCGAAGAGUCGAGUUGUUUGGGAAUGCAGCUCAAAACGGGUGGUAAACUCCAUCUAAAGCUAAAUAUUGGCGAGAGACCGAUAGCGAACAAGUACCGUGAGGGAAAGAUGAAAAGCACUUUGGAAAGAGAGUUAAACAGUACGUGAAAUUGCUAAAAGGGAAGCGCUUGAAGUCAGUCGCGUCUUCAGAGACUCAGCCUCACGGCGCAUUUCUCUGUCGACGGGUCAACAUCAGUUUUGGCCGCGGGAAAAGGGCUUGAGGAAUGUGGCAGCCUCGGCUGUGUUAUAGCCUCUUGUCGUACACCGCGGCUGGGACUGAGGUCUGCUUAUAGGAUGUUGACGUAAUGGCUUUAAGCGACCCGUCUUGAAACACGGACCAAGGAGUCUAACAUGUCUGCGAGUGUUUGGGUGUCAAACCCAUGCGCGUAAUGAAAGUAAAUGCAGGUGGGAGGCCUCGGCCGCACCAUCGACCGAUCCGGAUCUUUAGUGAUGGAUUUGAGUAAGAGCAUAUAUGUUGGGACCCGAAAGAUGGUGAACUAUGCCUGAAUAGGGCGAAGCCAGAGGAAACUCUGGUGGAGGCUCGUAGCGAUUCUGACGUGCAAAUCGAUCGUCAAAUUUGGGUAUAGGGGCGAAAGACUAAUCGAACCAUC
rnacentral:rRNA from 1 species